UACGUAGGGCGCGAGCGUUGUCCGGAAUUAUUGGGCGUAAAGAGCUCGUAGGUGGCUUGUUGCGUCUGCCGUGAAAGCCCGUGGCUUAACUACGGGUCUGCGGUGGAUACGGGCAGGGUAGAGGCUGGUAGGGGCAAGCGGAAUUCCUGGUGUAGCGGUGAAAUGCGCAGAUAUCAGGAGGAACACCGGUGGCGAAGGCGGCUUGCUGGGCCAGUUCUGACGCUGAGGAGCGAAAGCGUGGGGAGCGAACAGG
rnacentral:rRNA from 1 species